rnacentral:rRNA from 1 species
CCUACGGUGGCUGCAGUGGGGAAUAUUGGACAAUGGGCGAAAGCCUGAUCCAGCCAUGCCGCGUGUGUGAAGAAGGCCUUCGGGUUGUAAAGCACUUUCAGUGGGGAAGAAAGCCUUGGGGCUAAUACCCUCGAGGAAGGACAUCACCCACAGAAGAAGCACCGGCUAACUCCGUGCCAGCAGCCGCGGUAAUACGGAGGGUGCGAGCGUUAAUCGGAAUUACUGGGCGUAAAGCGCGCGUAGGCGGUCUGAUAAGCCGGUUGUGAAAGCCCCGGGCUCAACCUGGGAACGGCAUCCGGAACUGUCAGGCUAGAGUGCAGGAGAGGAAGGUAGAAUUCCCGGUGUAGCGGUGAAAUGCGUAGAGAUCGGGAGGAAUAUCAGUGGCGAAGGCGGCCUUCUGGACUGACACUGACGCUGAGGUGCGAAAGCGUGGGUAGCAAACAGGAUUAGAUACCCUAGUAGUC